rnacentral:rRNA from 1 species
UACGUAGGGGGCAAGCGUUGUCCGGAUUUAUUGGGCGUAAAGAGCGUGCAGGCGGCUUUACAGGUCCGUUGUGAAAACUCGAGGCUCAACCUCGAGACGCCGGUGGAAACCGUAAAGCUAGAGUCCGGAAGAGGAGAGUGGAAUUCCUGGUGUAGCGGUGAAAUGCGCAGAUAUCAGGAGGAACACCCGUGGCGAAAGCGGCUCUCUGGGACGGUACUGACGCUGAGACGCGAAAGCGUGGGGAGCAAACAGG